rnacentral:lncRNA from 1 species
CAGGAAGUGGAGGAAUGCAUAUUUAUUUAGCACCUAUUACUUGCUGGACACUACAGACAGAGAGAUUUUUAACUACAGGGCCCGGGUUACAUGGGCCAUCUGGAAAUGCAAUCUUAUGAGAAAUGGAACCAGGCAUGUUUUGACCAGAGGAGAGCAGACCUAUUAAGAGGAGAUGUGUGUUCAGGUAUUCAAUAAGUGGUCACGUGGAGGAAGAAAUAAGGCUGAUUUCUGCUGUGCGAGGAUAAAAGAAGCACAUGGAGUGUGGAGUAGAGAGAGGCAGAGGCAGACUGGUGCUGAAGAAGAAGGAGCUUGCUAAGGAGUGGGGAUGUCCUGUGUGAGGAAAUACGCUUUCUUCCUGAGCGCCUGCACAGCCCUACGAGUGUCCAAGAGGAAACGGAGUUUCUGUCCAGGAUCUCUGAAGUCUUUACCAAAGAUAGAAGCAUGAUUCUAAGAAGAACCUUUUUUGGGAGAAGAAGGCUGAUAUUCUACCUCAAUGAGGCCAGAAUAAAAGAAAACAGAUCUAUUGCACCCCAAUUUCCCUUUGGAGAAUUACUUCCUCCAUGUUGUAUGCAGCCUCAGGAUGUCCUGCCCACCAGCCACAGAGGCUACUGGCUCCUUUCAACAGAAGCUCUCACCACCCAGCUACAGCCAAGCGUGUGACCCAAGCUCCAUCAGACUCCCUCUCCUUAGAUUUGACCCUUAGACCAGUGACUACAAGGGCAAAAGAAAUGGUCAGGGUUCAUUCAAUGCCACGUUUGUUCCUGCCACCUCGUCUAUUCCCAGCCUUGUGCCUUCAUCCUCCCUUCAAUCAUACAAAAGCACUAAUAUCUUUCCAGUAUGUUCCAUUAUGCUUUAGUCAGCUCAUUAGUUUCUGUUGCCUACAACCAAGUAACCCUAAGUGGAUAAAGUUUCAUGAAGAUUUGUUUUUGUUUGUUUUUCGUGGAGUUCCGCUGCUAAAAUGUGAGAGUUUGGACCAGAUGAUUUGAGUUGCUGCUCCUGGUCCUGUGUGUUUAAGCUUAAAAAACCUUAGAAGAAAAUGCUUAUUGCAGGUCUGGUGAUUGACUCAAUGCAAACGUUACCACCAACAGGAACCACGAAGAAACGUAGGUCAGUAAUAUACUCGUGUAAAAGAUGUCUCAAUAUUUUUCCCACCAAUCUUCCUGUGCUGGCCUGUGAAAUUUAACUCUUUCUAACAUCCAAACAGUCGAAAGCUGUAGGCCUGCACGUUCUGAAACUGUGUGAUCGAGGGCUCCCUCAUGAGCCUCACCCUAUACUUCUCUCUUGAUGGAGGAGAAAGAACACCAUCCUAUACACUUGCCAAAUUUGAAUGAGGUGCUUUUUAGGUUU